GACGAACGCUGGCGGCGUGCCUAAUACAUGCAAGUCGAGCGAGACUCUUCGGAGUCUAGCGGCGGACGGGUGAGUAACACGUGGGCAACCUGCCUGUAAGACUGGGAUAACACCGGGAAACCGGUGCUAAUACCGGAUAGUCCUUUUCCUCUCAUGAGGAAAAGCUGAAAGUCGGUUUCGGCUGACACUUACAGAUGGGCCCGCGGCGCAUUAGCUAGUUGGUGAGGUAACGGCUCACCAAGGCGACGAUGCGUAGCCGACCUGAGAGGGUGAUCGGCCACACUGGGACUGAGACACGGCCCAGACUCCUAUGGGAGGCAGCAGUAGGGAAUCUUCCACAAUGGACGGAAGUCUGGUGGAGCAACGCCGCGUGAGCGAUGAAGGCCUUCGGGUCGUAAAGCUCUGUUGUUAGGGAAGAACAAGUACCGGAGUAACUGCCGGUACCUUGACGGUACCUAACCAGAAAGCCACGGCUAACUACGUGCCAGCAGCCGCGGUAAAAC
rnacentral:rRNA from 1 species